rnacentral:rRNA from 1 species
CCUACGGGGGGCAGCAGUGGGGAAUAUUGGGCAAUGGGCGCAAGCCUGACCCAGCAACGCCGCGUGAAGGAAGAAGGCUUUCGGGUUGUAAACUUCUUUUGUCAGGGACGAAGCAAGUGACGGUACCUGACGAAUAAGCCACGGCUAACUACGUGCCAGCAGCCGCGGGAAUACGUAGGUGGCAAGCGUUAUCCGGAUUUACUGGGUGUAAAGGGCGUGUAGGCGGGACUGCAAGUCAGAUGUGAAAACCACGGGCUCAACCUGUAGACUGCAUUUGAAACUGUAGUUCGUGAGUACUGGAGAGGCAGACGGAAUUCGUAGUGUAGCGGUGAAAUGCGUAGAUAUUAGGAGGAACACCAGUGGCGAAGGCGGUCUGCUGGACAGCAACUGACGCUGAGGCGCGAAAGCGUGGGGAGCAAACAGGAUUAGAUACCCUUGUAGUC